rnacentral:rRNA from 1 species
UACGAAGGUGGGAAGCGUUGUUCGGAUUUACUGGGCGGAAAGAGUGCGUAGGCGGUUUGAUAAGUCAGAAGUGAAAUCCCAGGGCUCAACCUUGGAAUUGCUUUUGAAACUAUUUUACUUGAAUUCGGUAGAGGUUGGCGGAAUUCUCAGUGUAGAGGUGAAAGUCGCAGAUAUUGAGAGGAACACCAGUGGCGUAAGCGGCCAACUGGACCGAUAUUGACGCUGAGGCACGAAAGCGUGGGUAGCAAACAGG